UAAGGAAUAUUGGUCAAUGGACGCAAGUCUGAACCAGCCAUGCCGCGUGGAGGAUGAAGGUCCUCUGGAUUGUAAACUUCUUUUAUCUGGGAAGAAACCCAUGGUUUCUACUGUGGUUGACGGUACCAGAUGAAUAAGCACCGGCUAACUCCGUGCCAGCAGCCGCGGUAAUACGGAGGGUGCAAGCGUUAUCCGGAUUCACUGGGUUUAAAGGGUGCGUAGGUGGGUCUGUAAGUCCGUGGUGAAAUCUCCGAGCUUAACUUGGAAACUGCCAUGGAUACUAUAGGUCUUGAAUACUGUGGAGGUCAGCGGAAUAUGUCAUGUAGCGGUGAAAUGCUUAGAUAUGACAUAGAACACCAAUUGCGAAGGCAGCUGGCUACACAAAUAUUGACACUGAGGCACGAAAGCGUGGGGAUCAAACAGGAUUAGAUACCCCUGUAGUCC
rnacentral:rRNA from 1 species